CAACCCUCGAGCCCGACUCUUUUGAGGACGGCUCGGCGUUGGGGGACGGCAGACUCCCCCCGGCAUCUCGCCGGGGACGCCGCCCCCGAAAUCUAGUGGCGGCCCUCCGAGGCGACCUCUGCGUAGUAACUUGUUCUCGCCCCGGAAAGCUCAGAGCGGCCACGCCGUAAAACCCCAACUUUUUUCA
rnacentral:misc_RNA from 1 species